ACGACCGCGUGAGUGAAGAAGGUUUUCGGAUCGUAAAGCUCUGUUGUUGGUGAAGAAGGAUAGAGGUAGUAACUGGCCUUUAUUUGACGGUAAUCAACCAGAAAGUCACGGCUAACUACGUGCCAGCAGCCGCGGUAAU
rnacentral:rRNA from 1 species